rnacentral:rRNA from 1 species
CAAAAGCGUAUAUUAAAGUUGUUGCAGUUAAAAAGCUCGUAGUUGAACCUUGGGCUUGGCUGGCCGGUCCAUCUUUUUUGAUGCGUACUGGACCCCGCCGAGCCUUUCCUUCUGGCUAGCCUUUUGGCGAACCAGGACUUUUACUUUGAAAAAAUUAGAGUGUUCAAAGCAGGCCUUUGCUCGAAUAUAUUAGCAUGGAAUAAUAGAAUAGGACGUUAUGGUUCUAUUUUGUUGGUUUCUAGGACCAUCGUAAUGAUUAAUAGGGACGGUCGGGGGUAUCAGUAUUCAGUUGUCAGAGGUGAAAUUCUUGGAUUUACUGAAGACUAACUACUGCGAAAGCAUUUACCAAGGACGUUUUCAUUAA